rnacentral:rRNA from 1 species
AGCGAACGCUGGCGGCAGGCUUAACACAUGCAAGUCGAACGGGCAUCUUCGGAUGUCAGUGGCAGACGGGUGAGUAACACGUGGGAACGUACCCUUCGGUUCGGAAUAACUCAGGGAAACUUGAGCUAAUACCGGAUACGCCCUUUUGGGGAAAGGUUUACUGCCGAAGGAUCGGCCCGCGUCUGAUUAGCUUGUUGGUGGGGUAACGGCCUACCAAGGCGACGAUCAGUAGCUGGUCUGAGAGGAUGAUCAGCCACACUGGGACUGAGACACGGACCAGACUCCUACGGGAGGGAGCAGUGGGGAAUAUUGGACAAUGGGCGCAAGCCUGAUCCCGCCAUGCCGCGUGAGUGAUGAAGGCCUUAGGGUUGUAAAGCUCUUUUGUCCGGGACGAUAAUGACGGUACCGGAAGAAUAAGCCCCGGCUAACUUCGUG